rnacentral:rRNA from 1 species
AGUGAACGCUGGCGGUAGGCCUAACACAUGCAAGUCGAACGGCAGCACAGUAAGAGCUUGCUCUUACGGGUGGAGAGUGGCGGACGGGUGAGGAAUACAUAGGAAUCUACUUUUUCGUGGGGGAUAACGUAGGGAAACUUACGCUAAUACCGCAUACGACCUACGGGUGAAAGCAGGGGAUCUUCGGACCUUGCGCGAUUGAAUGAGCCGAUGUCGGAUUAGCUAGUUGGCGGGGUAAAGGCCCACCAAGGCGACGAUCCGUAGCUGGUCUGAGAGGAUGAUCAGCCACACUGGAACUGAGACACGGUCCAGACUCCUACGGGAGGCAGCAGUGGGGAAUAUUGGACAAUGGGCGCAAGCCUGAUCCAGCCAUACCGCGUGGGUGAAGAAGGCCUUCGGGUUGUAAAGCCCUUUUGUUGGGAAAGAAAAGCAGCAGGUUAAUACCCCGCUGUUCUGACGGUACCCAAAGAAUAAGCACCGGCUAACUUCGUG